UUCCUACGGGAGGCAGCAGUGGGGAAUAUUGGGCAAUGGGCGCAAGCCUGACCCAGCAACGCCGCGUGAAGGAAUAAGGCCCUACGGGUCGUAAACCUCUUUUGCCGGGGAGCAAGGGCCGGGACGCGUCCCGGCCCGGAGAGUACCCGGAGAAAAAGCAUCGGCUAACUCCGUGCCAGCAGCCGCGGUAAUACGGAGGAUGCGAGCGUUAUCCGGAUUUAUUGGGUUUAAAGGGUGCGUAGGCGGGCUUUUAAGUCAGCGGUAAAAAUUCGGGGCUCAACCCCGUCCGGCCGUUGAAACUGGGG
rnacentral:rRNA from 1 species